AGGGAUGCGUAUGUUCAGUAUGUGAGCGCGAGUGAGCCUGUGAUUAGGGGCCCAGUUGGGCCCCCGAGGCCUCACAACCGCCCACUACGCGUGCAGAGGAAAGGGAGACAGACCUCAAACUCCCUUGCUCGCGUCUGCAAGAACGCGUGGGAACAUAUCGGCUCGUCUAUCAUUCCGUCCUUUCUUCCAAACGCCAUAUUGUUCGAAAAGAAAUAAAAGGAGAAGAGAGUUACAUAUAACCCUUCGCGUGUGCUAUCUCGGAGGUUCCAUCCAGUACCUUCUCGUGACCUAUGAUCUCGCAUACAAAACGAUCAGCAUUUUGGCGGUGGGGUGAUGCUAAGUAAUAGCAACGUAACAUCGGCACGUGAUUAUCAUUGUAUACAUGAAAGUAUAUGCUUGUGUGCACAUAUUGUGUACAUGUGUAUGUAUAUAUGCAACGCACAGCCGACACUUUCGAGCAUGCCUCACGUGUACAUUCUUUUUGCUCCAUCAUAAUACACGCGUGAUGCUCGUAUUGCACCCCGUUAGUUCUGCGGUUAGCUCUCACAUUGUGGGUGUUCAUAAUGCACCGGCACCGCAGGCCGUUUGCCGUUAUCGCGAGAGAUUUUGAUGAUAGGCCAUCGCGACAUCUGGAGUGCUCUUGGCAAAUUUAGAGAUUGCUCAGAUUUCGUGGCUCUCCGAAUCAACAUGUUGAUAUAUAUAGGAUGUCCUAAAUAAAAUAUCUUAUUUAAAUCACAACUUUAAAUUUUUAUUAUCAAUUAUUUUUAUAAGUAAAUUUUUUGCAUAAAUAAGAUUACAGAAAAAUCAGGACAAUGUAUAUUGUGACGAAACGACGGCUGCAAAA